AUGAUCACCACCAUGUUCCUCCAAUCCUCUGAGGACCCAGGGACCCACGGUACUGAGAAAAGCUUUGAUGGAGCCGGCUGGUGGAUCUCCACUCCAGAUUUUCCAGCUGUCCCUGUCCCCCCCCACCGCUCAGAGAGCAGGAUGCUGAGAUGGCUCGGUGAUGCAGAAGGUAUGUGCUUUUUCAGUUCUGGUGCUGAUGCUGUGUGUGUGGUGAGGUCUCUGUGGCGCAAUGGACGAGCGCGCUGGACUUCUAAUCCAGAGGUUCCGGGUUCGAGUCCCGGCAGAGAUGGUCACCUGGCAGGCACUGUAGUUCCUGACUGUAUGUUGAAAGAAGGAGGAUGAGAACAGGUGACAUUUUUGGCUACCAAAACAUCAAUCUGCAUGCAGAGAAGGGACUGAUCUCAUUAUUCCCCCAUGGAGAACAAAGAAGGAAAUCACAGAUGUUGUGAAGAAGAGAGAAUUUCAGGACCCCAACGUGUAUGUGCUUAGCAAGAGACUUUGCUAAACCAUGGGAGAGAGCUGUUCAGUGACCAGCUCACAGGACAGAGGCCAAGGCAGGGGUGGUGGUGAUGGUGGGGUCUCCCUUCAGCUUCUUCCCUGAUCCCUGAGCAUGGCUGAGACGAAGGCCAUGGCCCUGCUUCCACAGAAAACCUACUUCAGGAGUCAUCUUACAACACUUUAUUCAAUGGGAGCUCUGAGAGCCAGAAUCUGAAAUGCCACCAGAUUGAGGGGGCACCAUUUAUGCACGAAAGGCCCAAAUUCUAUGUUCCUUCAUAGAAACAAAUCCUUAACCCACUGAGCAAGGCCAGGAAUCGAACCUUUGUCCUCAUGGAUGCUAGUCAGAUUCGUUAACCGCUGAGCCACAACGGGAACUCCAGUACGCUUUUUUUUUUUUUUUUUCAACAAAUUAUGGUACAUGCAGUCAUACCUUCAUGCUCUGCCUUGGUAUACCAGGGCCUAUGGACCUCAAAGUGUCUUUUUAAAAAGAACUGUGAUGAUUUUUCCAAUGAAGCUCUUCUCAACUUUCCAGCAAAUUAUCGAUGAAGACAAGGAUAAAUGUGAAGGUUUGCAAAGAAAAAUUUUACACCACCCGUCAACCUAUGGCCAGAGUGUGAGAAGCUGAUGGUGAUGAAGUGUAAGCCAUAGGCUUAAUGUCUUUUGCUACCCAAAAUCUGUCCUUAAAACCUAAAAUUAAAAUGUUCGAAAGACAUUUUGUCCUUCCCCCAAUUGUUGUCCCUCCAGGUUAGAAAAAUUGGGUUGAUUCCAAGCAGAAAACUGAGAUUAGGAGUUUUGGCUCAGUAAGUUAAAGAACCCAACAUGGUGUCUGUGAGGAUGUGGGUUCAAUCCCUGGCCUUGCUUGGUGGUUUAAGGAUCAGGUGUUGCUGUGGCUGUGGUGCAGGCCUGCAGCUGCAGCUCUGAUUCAACCCCUAGCCCAGGAACUUCCACAUGCUGCAGUGUGGACAUUUGAAAGAAAGAAAAAAAGAAAGUUAAUUUCAGCUGUACAGCAGAGUGAAUCAGCCAUGCAUAUAUACAUAUCUACUCUUUUGCAGAUUCUUUUCCCAUCUAGGUUAUUACAGAAUAUUGAGUAGAGUUCCCUGUGCUAUACAGCAGGUCCUUGUUAGUUAUCUGUUCUAUAUAUAGCAGUGUGUGUAUGUAAAUUCCUAAGUUAUCCUUUCUCCCCACAUUUCCCCCUUGGCAACCAUUCGUUUGAUUGAGAUCUGUGAGUCUGUUUCUGUUCUGUAAAUAAAUUCAUUUGUAUCAUUUUAAAAUUAGAUUCU
rnacentral:tRNA from 1 species